AGCGAACGCUGGCGGCAGGCCCAACACAUGCAAGUCGAACGAAGUCUUCGGACUUAGUGGCGGACGGGUGAGUAACACGUGGGAACGUACCUUUUGGUUCGGAACAACUCAGGGAAACUUGAGCUAAUACCGGAUGAGCCCUUAGGGGGAAAGAUUUAUCGCCGAAAGAGCGGCCCGCGUUAGAUUAGCUAGUUGGUGAGGUAAAGGCUCACCAAGGCUACGAUCUAUAGCUGGUCUGAGAGGAUGAUCAGCCACACUGGGACUGAGACACGGCCCAGACUCCUACGGGAGGCAGCAGUGGGGAAUCUUGCGCAAUGGGCGAAAGCCUGACGCAGCCAUGCCGCGUGAAUGAUGAAGGUCUUAGGAUUGUAAAAUUCUUUUACCGGGGACGAUAAUGACGGUACCUGGAGAAAAAGCCCCGGCUAACUUCGUGCCAGCCGCCGCGGUAACAC
rnacentral:rRNA from 1 species